rnacentral:tRNA from 1 species
CGGCUCUAGCCGACGUCGAAGGACCCGCAGGCUUUGAGCCUGCGGGUCCUUCGGUUGCCGCCGUUCGGUCCGUUGAGUGCCGC